GUUUGCACACAGAUAUCCUAAAUGUACCUGAGUCCAUAUGAACUUGGAAGCUAAGCUGGAUCCAUUCUGAUUAGUACUUGUAUGGGAGCCCCCUAAUGAAUACCAAGCAUGGUAGGCU
rnacentral:rRNA from 1 species